rnacentral:SRP_RNA from 1 species
GUGCAUGCGCCCAUGUCAGUGCAUCAAGUCCUCUUUGCAGCUAGCUUCCAGGCCUGACAAGGUGUCUUUUGUUCAUGGCU